CUCGAUUCCAACCCGGUUCCUGGCAAUGCAGUGCAGCAUCAAGCGGAAGGGGUGCAUGCAUGCUAGAGGUUUUGAGGAAGAAAUUCAGGAGUCAAUCAGUGGAAGAAAUGUCAGUGCAUGUUCUGGUGCGACCAGUUCCCCCAAAUGAGGUACCCAUUGGCCGCCAAAAUGUUCAAGA